rnacentral:lncRNA from 1 species
UCUAGAUUAUCGAAUUUAUUUCAUCUAAUUUUUUGCUUGUGUAUCAUGAACUUUGCAAAGUUAUAGUUUGUUCAUAGUGAAAAGUGAAUUUCAAAAGUGAAUUUCAAAAAUUUUUCAUUCCACGAUAUUCGAUCGAUAUGUGAUAAUAUUUAAUGUGAUAAACUAUGGAAGUUACGUAUCGAAGAAAUACAAUUUCAUAGAUUUGUACAUGACGAAGACCAAAGUUUAAAAAUCUAUUCUAAAUGGAAACAUUUACACAAAUAACGAAAAUAAAUAGAUUUUUAUCUAUCUUUCGUUAUCCUAAGAUAUACAACAUCUCAAUAUUUUUGUAAGAAUCUAAUCGCAUCAAUUAUUAUUAUUAUAUUAUCAUUUCUGUUGUCCACGAAAUACUAUUUUAAAUUUUUGACUAUUUCAUCGACUACUGGCAUUAUUUUGAUAUGUCAAUCAUAAAAAUGCGAAAUUUUUUCAUCUUAAUUCGCAUCGUUUGAAAUUUCAGAAAAAGUUCGUUAAACACGUUCAUCAGAAUCAUAAAAAAUAAUAAUACUGAUGGCUGAAAUAAAAAGAUAUUUUUGUUUUUCAAACUACGUAGACAACGAAACGAAAUAUUAUAUCAUAUUGAUUUUAAACUACAUAAAAAUUAGCUCUGUAGCUUUAUAAUUCUUAAUUUUUUUUUUUGAAAUGCACAAAAGUUUCAGAUGUUGUCUACACGCGAAUGGAAUUGUUCCAUGAUACUGAAGUGUCAUCACAGCACAAAGAAGAAACAAUAAGAUAGAAAUUAAAUGAAAAUAUUCAAGGAUUAUCUGAUUGAGAAGCGUGCUGAUGGCAUAGAACACGCCUACGUUGAUGCCAUAACUGAACAAUAGUAACAAGUAACCGAAGUUUGUGAGUAGUUUCUUCAUGGACAUGAAGAAACUUUUUGGCGUUUCGUUCUCUCUAUGAAUUUGAGCUUGUGCUUGGUUCGGAGGAAGCGGUGGUUUAGACUUAAAAACUAGAAGAAAAUAUUAUUUCAAUAUGGAGGACUGAAAAAUCGUAAUGAUCCCAUCAUGAGCUAUCCCGACAAGAGUUCCGCUCUCGAAAGCUUGUGCUCGAAGAGCGGCAAACUUGGCAGUCACGUCAUAAACAGCAAGGUCAACGAUCAUUUAUAUCAAUUUUGUGAUAUCUAUCGUAUAUUUCUUUAUUAACUAUACAUAGCAAAUGGCAUUGUAAUAAAAAUUUUAUUAAAACCUCACCAGACGUGAAGAACGAUUGAUGUACAUAUUCUAAGAAUAGAAUUCCUCUAAUCGAACAGAAAUACUUCUUCAAAUAAAAUAUUCAAGAUUCUCGAACUAUACAUCUUAAUAUGAUAGAAAAAAAAAAAAGGUUCUCGGACCAUGCAUAUAUAUUCUCGAGAUAGAAGAGAAAAAAUAGAAGAAAAAAUUACGUCAAAGUUGAUAAAAUAAUCUGAUCGGCGGUGCACCUUGAAUAGAUUAUCUUCCUACGAGAAGGGGUGAUCUGUUUGAAAUACAUAGGUUUAAUUCGCUGAAUAGGGUCCCAGAUCCCCCUCCUACCGCCGCGAAAUGAAACGUGGGUGCACGUUACGAUUCUGUUUCCCAUCUAAUCACUACUUAAUUCUCCAACGACCCUGUCUCUCGAAUUAGAGUUUUACUACACAGCAUAACGUCGUGUGGAUACGUUCACUUUGUUGGCAUUGGCUUCAUCCAGAAUCUCAUUGAAAAUUUGGCACGCGAUUCUAUUGCUAUUGUUUCGAGUAAAAUGAUGGAGUAAUUAAUGGAUCUUUGAGACAAUAAUUGAGACAAUGAUCUGGUAUUAUAACAAGGACUCUUUUGAAGUUAUAAUUUUUCUCAAAAAUGAAGCAAGAAAUCAAAGUAUUCUAUCAAUUGAUUCUAUAUUUUUUACAUAUUUUCAUAUAAAAAAUUAUCUUUACAUUCUAAACAUAAAUUAAUCUAUAUGUACAACUUAUAUAUAUGUACGUAUG